AUUACUAAUAAUAUCACCCUGCAGCCCAAGACUGGUUGCCCACUGAAGCUAAGCAGGGUUGAGCCUGGUCAGUACCUGGAUGGGAGACCUCCUGGGAAAACUAGGUUGCUGCUGGAA
rnacentral:rRNA from 1 species